UUAACCGAAACCAAAAAGAGGUAUGUCACUGUUAAUGACAAAAUUGAAAAAUUUUCCGAUUAAA
rnacentral:tRNA from 1 species